GGCUCAGGAUGAACGCUAGCUACAGGCUUAACACAUGCAAGUCGAGGGGCAGCAUGAAGUCAGCUUGCUGACUUGAUGGCGACCGGCGCACGGGUGCGUAACACGUAUCCAAUCUACCCAUGGCUCAGGGAUAGCCUUUCGAAAGAAAGAUUAAUACCUGAUGGCCUUACAUGGAGACAUCUCCUAGUAAGUAAAGAUUUAUCGGCGAUGGAUGAGGAUGCGUCUGAUUAGAUAGUAGGCGGGGUAACGGCCCACCUAGUCGACGAUCAGUAGGGGUUCUGAGAGGAAGGUCCCCCACAUUGGAACUGAGACACGGUCCAAACUCCUACGGGAGGCAGCAGUGAGGAAUAUUGGUCAAUGGACGAGAGUCUGAACCAGCCAAGUAGCCGUGAAGGACGACUGCCCUAUGGGUUGUAAACUUCUUUUGUUUGGGAAUAAAGUGGGCCACGUGUGGCCUUUUGUAUGUACCAUACGAAUAAGCAUCGGCUAAUUCCGUGCCAGCCGCUGC
rnacentral:rRNA from 1 species